rnacentral:tRNA from 1 species
UGGCUCAGAGAUUAAAGCGUCUGCCUCCAAUGCAGGAAACCCAGGUUCGAUCCCUGG